CCUUUUGAUUUUAUUUUAAGGUCUAAUCUGCCCACUGAGUAAUUAAAUGGCCGCGGUAUUUUGACCGUGCGAAGGUAGCAUAAUCAUUAGUUUUUUAAUUGAAAGCUGGAAUGAAAGAUUGGAUGAGAAAAUAACUGUCUCAAAUUAAUUUUUAUAGAAUUUUAUUUUUAAGUUAAAAAGCUUAAAUAUAAUUAAAAGACGAGAAGACCCUAUAGAGUUUAAUAAUUAAUUUAAUUUUAAAUAAAUUGUUUAUAUAAAUUUAAUUUAAGUUAAUUAUUUUGUUGGGGUGACAAAAAAAUUUAAUAAACUUUUUUUUUAUUAAAAUACUUAUAUGUAAAUAAUUGAUCCAAAUUUUUUGAUUAUAAGAUAAAAUUACCUUAGGGAUAACAGCGUAAUUUUUUUUGAGAGUUCUUAUCGAAAAAAAAGAUUGCGACCUCGAUGUUGGAUUAAAAUUAAAUUUUGGUGUAGAAGCUAAAAAUUUAGGUCUGUUCGACCUUUAAAACUUU
rnacentral:rRNA from 1 species